rnacentral:rRNA from 1 species
CCUACGGGAGGCAGCAGUGGGGAAUAUUGGGCAAUGGGCGCAAGCCUGACCCAGCAACGCCGCGUGAAGGAAGAAGGCUUUCGGGUUGUAAACUUCUUUUAAGAGGGAAGAGCAGAAGACGGUACAUCUGGAAUAAGCCACGGCUAACGACGAGCCAGCAGACGCGGUAAUACGUAGGUGGCAAGCGUUGUGCGGAGUUACGGGGUGUAAAGGGCGGGAAGCCGGGAGGACAAGUCAGAUGUGAAAUCCCGCGGCUCAACCGCGGAACUGCAUUUGAAACUGUUUUUCUUGAGUACCGGAGAGUUCAUCGGCAUUCCUUGUGUAGCGGUGAACUGCUUAGUUAUUCGG